rnacentral:tRNA from 2 species
GGGCGGGUAGCUCAGUUGGUAGAGCACUGCCCUUACAAGGCAGGGGUCACAGGUUCGAGCCCUGUUCCGCCUACCA